rnacentral:rRNA from 1 species
CCUACGGGUGGCAGCAGUGGGGGAUAUUGCACACUGGGGGGAACCCUGAUGCCGCGACGCCGCGUGGGUGCAGGAGCGUUUCGGCGCGUAACGCCCUAUCGGCGGGGAAGAAGAUGACGGUACCUGACCAAGCAGCACCGGCUAACUACGUGCCAGCCGCCGCGGUAAUACGUAGGGGGAUAGCGUUAUCCGGAUUUACUGGGUGUAAAGGGGGCGCAGACGGCAAUGCACGCCAGGAGUGAACGCCCGGGGCCCAACCCCGGGACUGCUCUUGGAACUGCAUGGCUGGAGUACAGGAGGGGCAGGGGGAAUUCCUAGUGUAGCGGUGAAAUGCGUGGAUAUUAGGAGGAACACCGGUGGCGAAGGCGGCCUGCUGGACUGUGACUGACGUUGAGGCCCGAAGGCGUGGGGAGCAAACAGGAGUAGAUACCCGGGUAGUC